UACGGCCAUAUCCCAUUGAAACAUCGGUUCCCGUCCGACCACCGAAGUUAAGCAAUGCUGAGCCUGGUCACUACCUAGAUGGGUGACCGCUAGCGAAUACCAAGCAUUGUAAG